GGCUGAGACUCCCUAUUUAAACCCCGCAAGGCUGGUUCUCGUGGUCAGAUCGUGUUUCCUGUUCCUGUUUGGUUUCACUGCUGUUCAUCUGACUCCUGCUUUUGAUCUCCUGCUCGUCUACUGUUUUCGCCUGAUUGCUGCCCGUCCUGACUUCUGAUUCUGAUACUGACUACUCUUCUGGAUAUCCUUGUCUGUACUGCGUUCCAGGAAGCACUGGUUAUUUCAGCC